ACGGGAGGCAGCAGUGGGGAAUAUUGGGCAAUGGGGGGAACCCUGACCCAGCAACGCCGCGUGGAGGAAGAAGGUCUUCGGAUUGUAAACUUUUGUUCUUAGUGAAGAUAAUGACGGUAGCUAAGGAGAAAGCCACGGCUAACUACGUGCCAGCAGCCGCGGUAAUACGUAGGUGGCAAGCGUUGUCCGGAAUUACUGGGUGUAAAGGGAGCGCAGGCGGGAAAUCAAGUUGGAUGUGAAAUGUCGGGGCUUAACCCCGGAACUGCAUCCAAAACUGAUUUUCUUGAGUGAAGUAGAGGUAGGCGGAAUUCCGAGUGUAGCGGUGAAAUGCGUAGAUAUUCGGAGGAACACCAGUGGCGAAGGCGGCCUACUGGGCUUUAACUGACGCUGAGGCUCGAAAGUGUGGGGAGCAAACAGGAUUAGAUACCCUGGUA
rnacentral:rRNA from 1 species